rnacentral:rRNA from 1 species
UAAUACGGAGGAUGCGAGCGUUAUCCGGAUUCAUUGGGUUUAAAGGGUGCGUAGGCGGCUUUUUAAGUCAGUGGUGAAAUCCUGCAGCUUAACUGUAGAAUUGCCAUUGAUACUGAAGAGCUUGAAUAUAGUUGAGGUAGGCGGAAUGUGCAGUGUAGCGGUGAAAUGCUUAGAUAUUGCACAGAACACCGAUUGCGAAGGCAGCUUACUAAAUUAUUAUUGACGCUGAGGCACGAAAGCGUGGGGAUCGAACAGG